UACGUAGGGUGCGAGCGUUGUCCGGAUUUAUUGGGCGUAAAGAGCUCGUAGGCGGUUUGUCGCGUCGGCCGUGAAAUCUCCACGCUUAACGUGGAGCGUGCGGUCGAUACGGGCAGGCUAGAGUUCGGUAGGGGAGACUGGAAUUCCUGGUGUAGCGGUGAAAUGCGCAGAUAUCAGGAGGAACACCGGUGGCGAAGGCGGGUCUCUGGGCCGAUACUGACGCUGAGGAGCGAAAGCGUGGGGAGCGAACAGG
rnacentral:rRNA from 1 species